CCUACGGGGGACAGCAGUCGAGAAUCAUUCACAAUGGGGGAAACCCUGAUGGUGCGACGCCGCGUGGGGGAAUGAAGGUCUUCGGAUUGUAAACCCCUGUCAUGUGGGAGCAAAUUAAAAAGAUCGUACCACAAGAGGCAGAGACGGCUAACUCUGUGCCAGCAGCCGCGGUAAUACAGAGGUCUCAAGCGUUGUUCGGAAUCACUGGGCGUAAAGCGUGCGUAGGCUGUUUCGUAAGUCGUGUGUGAAAGGCGCGGGCUCAACCCGCGGACGGCACAUGAUACUGCGAGACUAGAGUAAGGGAGGGGGAACCGGAAUUCUCGGUGUAGCAGUGAAAUGCGUAGAUAUCGAGAGGAACACUCGUGGCGAAGGCGGGUUCCUGGACAUUAACUGACGCUGAGGCACGAAGGCCAGGGGAGCGAAAGGGAUUAGAUACCCCAGUAGUC
rnacentral:rRNA from 1 species